GACGAACGCUGGCGGCGUGCUUAACACAUGCAAGUCGAGCGGAAAGGCCACUUCGGUGGUACUCGAGCGGCGAACGGGUGAGUAACACGUGAGUAAUCUGCCCUUCACUUCGGGAUAGCUUCGGGAAACCGAGAUUAAUACCGGAUACGGCCAUGGAUCGCAGGAUCUUGUGGUGGAAAGUUUUUUCGGUGGGGGAUGUGCUUGCGGCCUAUCAGCUUGUUGGUGGGGUAAUGGCCUACCAAGGAUUCGACGGGGAGCCGGCCUGAGAGGGUGACCGGCCACACUGGGACUGAGACACGGCCCAGACUCCUACGGGAGGCAGCAGUGGGGAAUAUUGGACAAUGGGCGGAAGCCUGAUCCAGCAACGCCGCGUGAGGGAUGACGGCCUUCGGGUUGUAAACCUCUUUCAGCACAGACGAAGCCUUGUCUUUUUGGGUGGGGUGACGGUAUGUGCAGAAGAAGCACCGGCCAACUACGUGCCAGCCGCCGCCGUAACAC
rnacentral:rRNA from 1 species